rnacentral:rRNA from 1 species
GCUUAGAGUUUGAUCCUGGCUCAGGAUGAACGCUGGCGGCGUGCUUAACACAUGCAAGUCGAACGGUCUCUUCGGAGAUAGUGGCGGACGGGUGAGUAACGCGUGAGAAUCUGCCUUUAGGUUCGGGACAACAGUUGGAAACGACUGCUAAUACCGAAUGUGUCGCAAGAUGAAAGAUUUAUUGCCUAAAGAUGAGCUCGCGUCUGAUUAGCUAGUUGGUGGGGUAAAAGCGUACCAAGGCGACGAUCAGUAGCUGGUCUGAGAGGAUGAUCAGCCACACUGGGACUGAGACACGGCCCAGACUCCUACGGGAGGCAGCAGUGGGGAAUUUUCCGCAAUGGGCGAAAGCCUGACGGAGCAACGCCGCGUGAGGGAGGAAGGCUUUUGGGUUGUAAACCUCUUUUAUCAAGGAAGAUAAUGACGGUACUUGAUGAAUCAGCAUCGGCUAACUCCGUGCCAGCAGCCGCGGUAAUACGGAGGAUGCAAGCGUUAUCCUGAAUAAUUGGGCGUAAAGCGUUCGUAGGUGGCUUUGCAAGUCUGCUGUUAAAGCGUGUAGCUUAACUACAUAAUGGCGGUGGAAACUGCAAAACUAGAGUGCGUUCGGGGCAGAGGGAAUUCCUGGUGUAGCGGUGAAAUGCGUAGAUAUCAGGAAGAACACCGGUGGCGAAGGCGCUCUGCUAGGCCGCAACU